ensembl:lncRNA
UGUGGACCAGUGGCAGCCUCCUGGUGAUUCCUACUGUUUAAAGGGUCCUAAACAAACCUCUGUUUAACCCUAUGCGGAAGAAUUUGAACAGCUGAGAGGCAAAGAUGGCAAUGAGAAGCCUGAUCAGAAGUCACCUGGGAUGGUGGGCUGGCAUAUUCAUCAAGGUGGAAACUGACAGAGGGGCCAGGAUCUUUUGGCUCAACCCCCUACCUGGGGACCCCAAGCCGUAUGCACAAGUAAAGAAUCUGCCUGCAAUUCGGGAAACCUGGCUUCGAUCCCCGCAUUGGGAAGAUCUCCUGGAGAAGGGAAAGGCUGCCCACUCCAGUAUUCUGGCCUGGAGGUUUCCAUGAACUGUAUAGUCCAUGGGGUCGCAAAGAGUCGGACAGGACUGAGCGACUUUCACUUUCACUUUCAAGAUAAUAAAAAUCCCUUUCUCUUCUAUAUCUUAAGAAAUGCUUUUCAAAAGUUAAUACCACUUAAAAAAAAAAUCUCAAUAAAAAAGCAAGUAGAAAGAUUACAAUCUAGGUAACAUUUCCCUGUGAUAUCUUACGC